rnacentral:misc_RNA from 1 species
AACGCGUAGGUACUGAAGAUUUGGCCAGAGAACCCAGUAGACCACAGACUGAGAUUUUAGAGUCCGGAUCUGCAGAAGUAACAGAAGUGUAUAAGAUUGUCACCUCCUCAGCGAUAUAUGUAGAUAGGGCCCAUCUAAGUUAUUUUAUGUAUUUUAUACAUUAUGUAAAUUAUGAACUUGUGUAAUUAGUUUAUAAAUCAUGUAAAUUUAUGUAAUUUGAAAAUUUUUACAUAUGAAUUCAGUAUGAAUGGAAAUGUAUGGAAAUGAUUAUGAAAUUGAAAUAUAUGGAUGAGAUUUGAAAUAUGAGAAAAUUAUGAGAAUGAUUGAUGAGAUAAUUAUAAUUAGCAUGCAUAAGAUUUUAUUGUGAAAAUAUUGUUGAAUUUCAAGUAGGCGAAUAGUGAAUCACGUCAAACGAUAAUAGAAACAGGGAAAACUCCUGGUUUCUCCCGUCGAAAAAUAAUUGAUAUUAAAAUAU